rnacentral:rRNA from 1 species
UACAGGGGGGGCAAGCGUUGUUCGGAAUUACUGGGCGUAAAGGGCUCGUAGGCGGCCAACUAAGUCCGACGUGAAAUCCCAAAGCUUAACUUUGGAACUGCGUCGGAUACUGGAUGGCUUGAAUUCGGUAGGGGAGACUGGAAUUCCUGGUGUAGCGGUGAAAUGCGCAGAUAUCAGGAGGAACACCGGUGGUGAAGGCGGGUCUCUGGGCAAUAACUGACGCUGAGGAGCGAAAGCGUGGGGAGCGAACAGG